AUUGAACGCUGGCGGCAUGCCUUACACAUGCAAGUCGAACGGCAGCACGGGAGCAAUCCUGGUGGCGAGUGGCGAACGGGUGAGUAAAGUAUCGGAACGUGCCCAGUCGUGGGGGAUAACGUAGCGAAAGUUACGCUAAUACCGCAUACGAUCUAUGGAUGAAAGCGGGGGAUCGCAAGACCUCGCGCGAUUGGAGCGGCCGAUAUCAGAUUAGGUAGUUGGUGGGGUAAAGGCUCACCAAGCCGACGAUCUGUAGCUGGUCUGAGAGGACGACCAGCCACACGGGGACUGAGACACGGCGCAGACUCCUACGGGAGGAAGCAGUGGGGAAUUUUGGACAAUGGGCGCAAGCCUGAUCCAGCCAUGCCGCGUGCAGGAUGAAGGCCUUCGGGUUGUAAACUGCUUUUGUACGGAACGAAAAGGUUUGACUUAAUACGUUGGACUCAUGACGGUACCGUAAGAAUAAGCACCGGCUAACUACGUGCCAGCCGCCGCCGUAA
rnacentral:rRNA from 1 species